AAGGCUUCUUAUUGGGUAAUCUAUAGGGACAAGGAUUAGACUUUGUCUUAUUAUCUACCAUUGAUUAGAUUAAAUCCAACGGAUGAAAUCUUUUCUUUCUUUUCUCUUUUGUUGGUCAAAAGUUCUCCUCUUUUUUUCUCUUUCUCUUUCUCCUUCUCCUUCUCCUUCUCCUUCUCCUUCGUUCACUUCAUUAGAUCCCAGCAGCGACAAGCGAGACCAUUGCAGCAAGCGACGAAUAAGAUUUUCUAGUGUGUUUUUGGAGAAGCUGAGAACUCACUUCAAAAACAUCAAAGAGAAGUAUCAAACAAACAUUAUGAUUACAAGAUCUACGGCCGUAUGGGCAGUAUUUAAGGCUGGAUCUGGGCUGAGCUUCUGUUUCAGGGCGGCGGAAGUCUUAGGAGAAGGUUAGAUGAAAAGCCACUGUAGCUAUCUAAAGUCUAGAUCCGUGGGGGAAAUCGUCUGGCCGUUCGGUGAGUAGUGCCGCUAGUGGAGUGCCGGUUCUUCCCUUCCACAGGUUGAUGCCGACGUCGAGGCUUGUCGGCGAACAGAUUCUGGUUGCGGCGGCGAGGACCUCCUUUGUUGUGAUUAGGGUUUUUUUUUUGUUGAUUUUAGCUUCCGGUUGAACCGGCAUGUUGUUACCGGUUCAAUUCUGUAACUCUUAACCAAUUAAUACAAAUAUUCAUUUUUACUUAAUUAAAAAUAAUUUGUUUUUUUUUGUUUUU